rnacentral:sRNA from 1 species
AACGCCUGUCGCGGAUCUCUCCCUUCCCCUGGAGCAGAUCUACCCGGAACGGGGCUCCUCCCCAAGCACCGUUCCCCAGCCCCGUCGACCUCCCCCUGGUCGGCGGGGCUUUUUA